rnacentral:rRNA from 1 species
GACGAACGCUGGCGGCGUGCUUAACACAUGCAAGUCGAACGGAAAGGCUCCAGCUUGCUGGAGUACUCGAGUGGCGAACGGGUGAGUAACACGUGGGUAAUCUGCCCUGCACUCUGGGAUAAGCCUGGGAAACUGGGUCUAAUACUGGAUAUGACCUUUCUCCUUAUGGGGUUUGGUGGAAAGUUUUUCGGUGUAGGAUGAGCCCGCGGCCUAUCAGCUUGUUGGUGGGGUGAUGGCCUACCAAGGCGACGACGGGUAGCCGGCCUGAGAGGGUGAUCGGCCACAUUGGGACUGAGAUACGGCCCAGACUCCUACGGGAGGCAGCAGUGGGGAAUAUUGCACAAUGGGCGGAAGCCUGAUGCAGCGACGCCGCGUGAGGGAUGACGGCCUUCGGGUUGUAAACCUCUUUCAGCAGGGACGAAGCGUAAGUGACGGUACCUGCAGAAGAAGCACCGGCUAACUACGUGCCAGCCGCCGCCGUAA